rnacentral:rRNA from 1 species
GAUGGUAAAACAUCCGAGGGUCCACCUGUUCCCAUUCCGAACACAGAAGUUAAGCUCACCAGUGCCGAAAAUACUUGUCUGGAGACGGACCGGGAAGAUAGGUCAAUGCCAACA